UACGGAGGGGGCUAGCGUUGUUCGGAAUUACUGGGCGUAAAGCGCACGUAGGCGGCUUUGUAAGUUAGAGGUGAAAGCCCAGGGCUCAACCCUGGAAUUGCCUUUAAGACUGCAUCGCUUGAACAUCGGAGAGGUAAGUGGAAUUCCGAGUGUAGAGGUGAAAUUCGUAGAUAUUCGGAAGAACACCAGUGGCGAAGGCGACUUACUGGACGAUUGUUGACGCUGAGGUGCGAAAACGUGGGGAGCAAACAGG
rnacentral:rRNA from 1 species